AUUGAACGCUGGCGGCAGGCCUAACACAUGCAAGUCGAGCGGCAGCGGGACCUUCGGGUUGCCGGCGAGCGGCGGACGGGUGAGUAAUGCCUAGGAAUCUGCCUGUUAGUGGGGGAUAACGCGGGGAAACUCGCGCUAAUACCGCAUACGUCCUACGGGAGAAAGCGGGGGCUCUUCGGACCUCGCGCUAACAGAUGAGCCUAGGUCGGAUUAGCUAGUUGGUGGGGUAAUGGCCCAACAAGGCGACGAUCCGUAACUGGUCGGAGAGGAUGAUCAGUCACACUGGAACUGGUACACGGUCCAGGCGCCUACGGGAGUCAGCAGUGGGGAAUAUUGGACAAUGGGGGAAAGCCUGAUCCAGCCAUGCCGCGUGUGUGAAGAAGUUCUUCGGAUUGUAAAGCACUUUAAGUCGGGAGGAAGAGCUGUAGGCUAAUACCUUGCAGUUUUGACGUUACCGACAGAAUAAGCACCGGCUAACUUCGUGCCAGCAGCCGCCGUAA
rnacentral:rRNA from 1 species